AAAAUAAGCAGGAACAACAAUAAAGAGUGAUGGAAAAGAUAAUAGUCACAAAGGGGAACAGGCAGAAUCUGUAUCAACACUGAUAUGGAUACAGAUUCUGCCUGUUCCCCUUUGUGACUAUUAUCUUUUCCAUCACUUUUUAUUGUUCCUGCUCAUUUCU